rnacentral:rRNA from 1 species
UACGGAAGGAGCAAGCAUUAUUCAAUAUGAUUGGGUGUAAAAAGUUCGUAGGUUGUUUUAAAAGUUGGAAAAAAAAAAUUAAAAGCUUAACUUUAUAAAUUUUUUCAAAACUACAAAACUAAGAGUAUAAAUAGAGGAUCAAUGGAAUUUCUAUUGUAAGGAUAAAAUCUUGUAAUAAUAGGAAGAAGGACCAAAAGCGAAGGCAAUGGUCAUGUGUAUAUACUGACACUGAGGAACGAAAGCUUGGGUAGCGAAUAGG